GAGAAAGUGUAAGAAUGUCACCCCUGCUAUAUUUAUGAUUAGAAAUUAUUGAAAUGUUUUAUCUUUACUGGAAGCUGGCCAGAGUGAGAAGACAAGUUGCCCCACUAAUUACAUUCAGUCUCACUGAACGAUGCUCCAGGUCGACUUUUGCGAACCACCACUACCAAAAGCUCCAUCUUUCUCAAACUGGAGCACAAGAAAAAGCCUCUUUUCAGAGAGUUGGAGGGCAGAAAGACCUUGUCUGGUGAACAUGGCAUCUUAACAGUGUUUCAACACUCAUAUGCCAACAGAAUGGAAGAACUCUAACUGCGCUCUGCUGUGCUGAUUGCCUACCACGUGAUGAGGCACAUGUUCUUCAUAAAAGAGACACCAUGACAGCCAGA